UCCUCCCUCUGGCGGCGUGCUUAACACAUGCAAGUCGAACGGAAAGGCCUUGCUUUUGUGGGGUGCUCGAGUGGCGAACGGGUGAGUAACACGUGAGUAACCUGCCCUUGACUUUGGGAUAACUUCAGGAAACUGGGGCUAAUACCGGAUAGGAGCUCCUGCUGCAUGGUGGGGGUUGGAAAGUUUCGGCGGUUGGGGAUGGACUCGCGGCUUAUCAGCUUGUUGGUGGGGUAGUGGCUUACCAAGGCUUUGACGGGUAGCCGGCCUGAGAGGGUGACCGGCCACAUUGGGACUGAGAUACGGCCAAGACUCCUACGGGAGGCAGCAGUGGGGAAUAUUGCACAAUGGGCGGAAGCCUGAUGCAGCAACGCCGCGUGCGGGAUGACGGCCUUCGGGUUGUAAACCGCUUUCGCCUGUGACGAAGCGUGAGUGACGGUAAUGGGUAAAGAAGCACCGGCUAACUACGUG
rnacentral:rRNA from 1 species